CGGGACGGGGUGGAGUAAUGUCUGGGAAACGUGCCUGAUGGAGGGGGAUAACUACUGGAAACGGUAGCUAAUACCGCAUAACGUCGCAAGACCAAAGAGGGGGACCGUUCGGGCCUCUUGCCAUCGGAUGUGCCCAGAUGGGAUUAGCUAGUAGGUGGGGUAACGGCUCACCUAGGCGACGAUCCCUAGCUGGUCUGAGAGGAUGACCAGCCACACUGGAACUGAGACACGGUCCAG
rnacentral:rRNA from 1 species